rnacentral:piRNA from 1 species
GAGCAGGAAGAGGUUGCUGAGAUUGUUGGAA